rnacentral:rRNA from 1 species
AGAGACUGCCAGGGAUAACCUGGAGGAAGGUGGGGAUGACGUCAAAUCAUCAUGCCCCUUAUGCUUAGGGCUACACACGUGCUACAAUGGGUAGUACAGAGGGUUGCCAAGCCGUAAGGCGGAGCUAAUCCCUUAAAGCUACUCUCAGUUCGGAUUGUAGGCUGAAACUCGCCUACAUGAAGCUGGAGUUACUAGUAAUCGCAGAUCAGAAUGCUGCGGUGAAUGCGUUCCCGGGUCUUGUACACACCGCCCGUCACACCACGGGAGUUGGAGACGCCCGAAGCCGAUUAUCUAACCUUUUGGAAGAAGUCGUCGAAGGUGGAAUCAAUAACUGGGGUGAAGUCGUAACAAGGUAGCCGUAUCGGAAGGUGCGGCUGGAUCACCUCCUUUCUAAGGAGA